UUCAUUGUAGAAUAAGGAGUUAUAUGAAGCUGCUGAAAUAGGUGAUUCUACUGGUGUCCAGUCUGCACUGUCUCAAGGAGCUAAUGUAAACUAUCAUAAUCCUAAAGAGUUUGGAACUUCUUCUCUUCAUGUUGCUGCAAGAGGAGGAUAUCAUGAUGUGGUACAAAUUUUAUUGUCUGCAGGAGCUAAUGUGAACCUAAUAAAUAGAGCUGAAGAAACUGCUCUUAUUGAAGCAGCAAGAGGAGGAAACUGUGAUGUUGUAGAAUUACUGCUGAAGAAAGGAGCUGAUCCUUCACAUUCAA